rnacentral:rRNA from 1 species
AUUGAACGCUGGCGGCAGGCCUAACACAUGCAAGUCGAACGAGUGGCGGACGGGUGAGUAAUGUCUGGGAAACUGCCUGAUGGAGGGGGAUAACUACUGGAAACGGUAGCUAAUACCGCAUACCAUCGGAUGUGCCCAUAUAUGAUUAGCUUGUUGGGGGGGUAACGGCUCACCAAGGCGACGAUCCCUAGCUGGCCUGAGAGGAGGACGAGCCACACUGGAACUGAGACCCGGUCCAGACUCCUACGGGAGGCAGCAGUGGGGAAUAUUGCACAAUGGGCGCAAUCCUGAUGCAGCCAUGCCGCGUGUAUGAAGAAGGCCUUCGGGUUGUAAAGUACUUUCAGCGGGGAGGCGUUACCCGCAGAAGAAGCACCGGCUAACUCCGUGCCAGCAGCCGCGGUAAUAC